GAUGAACGCUGGCGGCGUGCCUAAUACAUGCAAGUCGAGCGAACAGACGAGGAGCUUGCUCCUCUGACGUUAGCGGCGGACGGGUGAGUAACACGUGGAUAACCUACCUAUAAGACUGGGAUAACUUCGGGAAACCGGAGCUAAUACCGGAUAAUAUAUUGAACCGCAUGGUUCAAUAGUGAAAGACGGUUUUGCUGUCACUUAUAGAUGGAUCCGCGCCGCAUUAGCUAGUUGGUAAGGUAACGGCUUACCAAGGCAACGAUGCGUAGCCGACCUGAGAGGGGGAUCGGCCACACGGGAACUGAGACACGGUCCAGACUCCUAGGGGAGGCAGCAGUAGGGAAUCUUCCGCAAUGGGCGAAAGCCUGACGGAGAAACGCCGGGUGAGUGAUGAAGGUCUUCGGAUCGUAAAACUUUGUUAUUAGGGAAAAAAAAAUGUGAAAGUAAAUAUGCACGUUUUGACGGUACCUAAUCAGAAAGCCACGGCUAACUACGU
rnacentral:rRNA from 1 species